rnacentral:rRNA from 1 species
GGCUACGGCUCAACCGUAGUAAGCUCUUGAAACUGGGAGACUUGAGUGCAGGAGAGGAGAGUGGAAUUCCUAGUGUAGCGGUGAAAUGCGUAGAUAUUAGGAGGAACACCAGUUGCGAAGGCGGCGCUCUGGACUGUAACUGACGCUGAGGCACGAAAGCGUGGGGAGCAAACAGGAUUAGAUACCCUGGUAGUCCACGCUGUAAACGAUGAGUACUAGGUGUCGGGGGUUACCCCCUUCGGUGCCGCAGCUA